rnacentral:misc_RNA from 1 species
CUCCGUCGCAACCAAACACUCGUCUUUCUGGCUUUCGGGUUUGGUGUUUGAAGUGGCGUCUUUUAGCCUGGUGAAAGGAGAGAACCAUUUAGCACGCAUGUACUCUGCUGUUCUCCAAGGAGGAAAGUGCAUGCCUUUCUUCUUCAAACUCUGCUUAGCCGCCUCCGACACGAUUGAUACAAUCUGACCCAGCCGAUCAGAUUUCCCGACGAAGAUGGACGGUAGUGAUUGCAGGAUUGCUUUGUAGGCACCGGUCGAUCGAG